rnacentral:rRNA from 1 species
GUGCCAGCCGCCGCGGUAAUACGUAGGUGGCAAGCGUUAUCCGGAAUUAUUGGGCGUAAAGCGCGCGUAGGCGGUUUUUUAAGUCUGAUGUGAAAGCCCACGGCUCAACCGUGGAGGGUCAUUGGAAACUGGAAAACUUGAGUGCAGAAGAGGAAAGUGGAAUUCCAUGUGUAGCGGUGAAAUGCGCAGAGAUAUGGAGGAACACCAGUGGCGAAGGCGACUUUCUGGUCUGUAACUGACGCUGAUGUGCGAAAGCGUGGGGAUCAAACAGGAUUAGA